rnacentral:rRNA from 1 species
UGAACGCUGGCGGCGUGGCUAAGACAUGCAAGUCGUACGGGUGCAGCAAUGCACCAGUGGCGGACGGGUGAGUAAUGAAUCGCUAAUGUGCCCUGGACACUGGGAUAGCCGUGGGAAACUGCGGGUAAUACCAGAUGAUAUCACCGACAGGCAUCUGUUGGUGCUCAAAGGCAAACCGGUUUGCGAGCAGGCGAUUUCGUAUCCAGCUAGUUGGUGGGGUAACGGCCCACCAAGGCGACGACGCGUAGCUGGUCUGAGAGGACGGCCAGCCACAUUGGCACUGAGACACUGCCCAGACUCCUACGGGGGGCUGCAGUAACGAAUCUUCCGCAAUGCACGCAAGUGUGACGGAGCGACGCCGCGUGGAGGUUAAGUCCUUCGGGAUGUAAACUCCUGUCAGGGGUUACCAAGUCCUGAGGAGCCCCAGAGGAAGGCACGGCUAACUCUGUGCCAGCAGCCGCGGUAAUACACAGGUGCCAAGCGUUAGGCCCAAUCACUGGGCUUAAAGCGCGCGUAGGCGGACCGUUAAGUGUCUUGUGAAAUCCCACAGCUCAACUGUGGAACUGCUCGGCAGACUGGCGGUCUUGAGGUGCUCAGGGGCGAGUGGAACAAGUGGUGGAGCGGUGAAAUGCGUAGAUAUCACUUGGAACGCCGAAGGUGAAAACGGCUCGCUGGGGGCAUCCUGACGCUGAGGCGCGAAAGCCAGGGGAGCAAACGGGAUUAGAUACCCCGGUAGUCCUGGCCCUAAACGAUGUCCACUAGAUUAUGGCGACUCUGACGUCGUCAUGGUCGGAGCAAAAGUGUUAAGUGGACCGCCUGGGAAGUACGGUCGCAAGGCUAAAACUCAAAGGAAUUGACGGGGGCUCACACAAGCGGUGGAGCAUGUGGUUUAAUUCGAAGCAACGCGCGGAACCUUACCUGGGCUUGACAUGCCAGGAUUACCCCCAUGAAAGUGGGGUACGCCUCGCAAGAGGUGGAACUGGUACAGGUACUGCAUGGCUGUCGUCAGCUCGUGUCGUGAGAUGUCGGGUUAAGUCCCUUAACGAGCGAAACCUUUGCCCUUAGUUACCAGCGGGUUAUGCCGGGGACUCUAAGGGGACUGCCGGUGUCAAACCGGAGGAAGGUGGAGAUGACGUCAAGUCCUCAUGGCCUUUAUGCCCAGGGCCACACACGUGCUACAAUGGGAUGCACAGAGCGAACCGAGGCCGCGAGGCGGAGGAAAUCGCAUCAAAUCAUCCCUCAGUUCAGAUCGGAGGCUGCAACCCGCCUCCGUGAAGCUGGAAUCGCUAGUAAUCGCGUAUCAGCCACGACGCGGUGAAUGUGUUCCUGAGCCU